rnacentral:rRNA from 1 species
GACGAACGCUGGCGGCGCGCUUAACACAUGCAAGUCGAGCGAGAACCAGAGCUUCGGCUCUGGGGACAGCGGCGAACGGGUGAGUAACACGUGGGUAAUCUGCCCUCGGUACUGGGAUAGCCCGGGGAAACCCGGAUUAAUACCGGAUGGCCCUUUGAGUCCUCGGACUUGAAGGAACAGGUAGCUUCGGCCUCCGACCGAGGAUGAGCCCGCGGCGGAUUAGCUUGUUGGUGGGGUAACGGCCACCAAGGCUCCGAUCCGUAGCUGGUCUGAGAGGACGAUCAGCCACACUGGGACUGAGACACGGCCCAGACUCCUACGGGAGGCAGCAGUGGGGAAUCUUGUCCAAUGGGCGAAAGCCUGAGACAGCGACGCCGCGUGCGGGAAGAAGG